rnacentral:rRNA from 1 species
AGAGUUUGAUCCUGGCUCAGGAUGAACGCUGGCGGCGUGCUUAACACAUGCAAGUCGAACGGAGUUAUCAUUUCAGAAGCAAUUAGCUUGCUAAGAGUGGAAGAGAGGAUAACUUAGUGGCGGACGGGUGAGUAACGCGUGGGGAACCUGCCCUGCACCGGGGGAUAACACCUGGAAACAGGUGCUAAUACCGCAUAAGCGCACGAGGCCGCAUGGCCAGGUGUGAAAAACUAAGGUGGUGCAGGAUGGACCCGCGUCUGAUUAGCUUGUUGGUAGGGUAACGGCCUACCAAGGCGACGAUCAGUAGCCGGCCUGAGAGGGUGAACGGCCACAUUGGGACUGAGACACGGCCCAAACUCCUACGGGAGGCAGCAGUGGGGAAUAUUGGACAAUGGGGGAAACCCUGAUCCAGCGACGCCGCGUGAGUGAAGAAGUAUUUCGGUAUGUAAAGCUCCAUCAGCAGGGAAGAAAAUGACGGUACCUGACUAAGAGGCCCCGGCUAACUACGUGCCAGCAGCCGCGGUAAUACGUAGGGGGCAAGCGUUAUCCGGAUUUACUGGGUGUAAAGGGAGCGUAGACGGCAUAGCAAGUCUGAUGUGAAAGAUCGGGGCUCAACCCCGGGCCUGCAUUGGAAACUGUUAAGCUGGAGUACAGGAGAGGUAAGCGGGAUUCCUAGUGUAGCGGUGAAAUGCGUAGAUAUUAGGAGGAACACCAGUGGCGAAGGCGGCUUACUGGACUGUAACUGACGUUGAAGCUCGAAAGCGUGGGGAGCAAACAGGAUUAGAUACCCUGGUAGUCCACGCCGUAAACGAUGAUUACUAGGUGUCGGGGGGGGCAGGGGCCCAUCGGUGCGGCAGCCAACGCAGUAAGUAAUCCACGUGGGGAGUACGUUCGCAAGAAUGAAACUCAAAGGGAAUUGACGGGGACCCGCACAAGCGGUGGAGCAUGUGGUUUAAUUCGAAGCGACGCGGAGAGCCUUACCAAGUCUUGACAUCCCGAUGGCAGGUGAGUAAAGUCACCCUCUCUUCGGAGCAUCGGAGACAGGUGGUGCAUGGUUGUCGUCAGCUCGUGUCGUGAGAUGUUGGGUUAAGUCCCGCAACGAGCGCAACCCCUAUUUUUAGUAGCCAGCAGGUAAAGCUGGGAAUUCUAAAGAGACUGCCGGGGAUAACCCGGAGGAAGGUGGGGAUGACGUCAAAUCAUCAUGCCCCUUAUGAUUUGGGCUACACACGUGCUACAAUGGCGUAAACAAAGGGAAGCGAGCCGGUGACGGUAAGCAAAUCCCAAAAAUAACGUCCCAGUUCGGAUUGCAGUCUGCAACUCGACUGCAUGAAGCUGGAAUCGCUAGUAAUCGCGGAUCAGAAUGCCGCGGUGAAUACGUUCCCGGGUCUUGCACUCACCGCCCGUCA